UGACACUCUGCUACAAUGUAAAGUAGUAAAUGUACAGCCUGUAUAACAGUGUAAAUUUGCUGUCCCCUCAAAAUAACUCAACACACAGCCAUUAAUGUCUAAACCGUCUGCAACAAAAGUGAGUGCACCCCUAAGUGGAAAUGUUCAAAUUGGGCCCAAUUAGCCAUUUUCUAAAAAUUAGAAAAACACAACUUCUGGCACAAAUACUG